CAAAUGUUAGGUGGCAAUUUUUUUGGGACAACAAAUCUAUACUACUGGGCUAGAAGCCCAUUUGGCACAUAAAAACUGCGGCACCAAUGCUAGGAAACUUCCAUGGAAACCCAGAGCAAAAGACAAGAAACGUACGAAGCAUAUGCCUUCGUAAUCAUAUCUAGAAGCACAUAGGCUUUAAAUACACAUCAACACCAAACCAGCAAACCCUUCUAGAUUCUCAUGUUUUAAUAUUCAUUUAAAUCCCUUUCAAUCGUUACUUUAAUAAUUUAUCGACGACUAAGUCGGCCUUGUGUAUAGUCAACUCGAGUGACAGACAUACUUUUCCAUCAUCAACCGUUUGGUGUUUAUAUACAAACCCAAAAACCAAUAAUAUAUGCCAGCAUCGUUGUAUUAAUUAAAAGAAAAGAUGAUCAAGCCUGCUUCCCUCCUCUUCAUGUUCCUUUUGAUUACCAGUUAUAGAUUCCAGUCUCAUCCUCUGAUGACAGAAGCAAGACCACUCUCCAUCAUCCCUCAGCAAAGAUAUCUAAGUAGUUUCGAUACACUUGGGAUGAUAUGUAAAUGUUGUGAUCUUCCUAAGAACGAAUGCACAAGCAAAUGGAAUGGAUCUUGUUCUAAUAUCCAAUGCAUUCCUUGGAGAUUUCAUUGACGUUUUUUCAUAUUUUUCAUCCAUGUAUCAUAUAUAGAAUUUUUUUUUUUUUUUUUGGUUUAGAAUUGCAGCUUUUUGCAUAUUGAUGUGUAGUGUAGGAAGGAGAUAUCUUACUGAUUCUCACCUUCUUAUGGCUGGCUACAAAAAACAUGAUGGAAAUUAGAAAUAUCAUUUAGAAGACUAACAAUAUUGUAAGUACUUGAAUAGAUGAUUAAGACCCACUUCUUGCGAGAA